UGACAGAGUGAGGGAGGGUGUGACUAGUGACAGAGAGAGGGAGGGGGUGACUAGUGACAGAGUGAGGGAGGUGGUGACUAGUGACAACCACCUCCCUCACUCUGUCACUAGUCACCACCUCCCUCACUCUGUCACCAGUCAUCCCCUCACUCUGCCACUAGUCACCCCUUCCCUCACUCUGUCACAAGUCACCCCCUCUCUCACUCUGUCACUA